AAGAUAUCCUAGAUACUUAUGAUAUUCCCGACACAAUUGAUAUGAAGAAACAUUAGAUGCAAUAUGUGGGUGACCGGUGGAAAGAUUUUAAAACAAAAUUGGUCAACAAGUAUAUAUACGGUUCUUUUUCAGGUAGGAACCCUUGUGAAAAAUACGACUUCCUUGAACAAGGGACAUGGAAUGAGUUUGUUCAACAUCAUACAGGUUCAGAAUAUGAGGCAAAAAGAAAAAAAUAUCAAGACAUACCAGCUAAGAAUAUUCAUCCACAUCUUUUAGCUCUAGGAGGUUAUAAAAGGUUG